rnacentral:rRNA from 1 species
AGAGAUGUGUGAUGACGCAUAUCAAUAAGCGGAGGAAAAGAAACUAACAAGGAUUCCCUUAGUAACGGCGAGUGAAGCGGGAAGAGCUCAAAUUUGAAAUCUUCAAGGUUCUACCUUGACGAAUUGUAGUUUAUAGAAGUGUUUUCUGUUAGUAGAGUGGCAAAAGUUCUUUGGAAUAGGACAUCAUAGAGGGUGAGAAUCCCGUAUUUGGUCAUUCUUUCUAGCUUUGUGAUACACUUUCAACGAGUCGGAUUGUUUGGGAAUGCAGUCCAAAAUGGGUGGUAAAUUUCAUCUAAAGCUAAAUAUUGGCGAGAGACCGAUAGCGAACAAGUACCGUGAGGGAAAGAUGAAAAGAACUUUGAAAAGAGAGUUAAACAGUACGUGAAAUUGUCAAAAGGGAAGCGUUUGACACCAGUGUUGUUUUUCCGAAAAUCAAUUACGAAUGUUUUAUUUUUGAGAAGUUAUGACUUCAUCGGCUUGCUUCUCUCUUUACGAAACUUUCUUAAUGCACUUUUCGGUUAACAAGUCAACAUCAAUUUCUUUUGUUGUAAAAGGGUAUGAGGAAGGUGGCUUUCUUUUCGGAGAAAGUGUUUAUAGCCUUGUACCUCUGCAAUCGGAGAGAUUGAGGUCUGCAGCGUAGAUCCUUCGGGGUUAGAUACAUUUGUGCUAAGUUAUAGCUUUUCAUAGACAACUUGUUGACUAUGUUAAGUCUUGUAGCUUACUCGCUUAUGCUAUUUUACCUACGCUUAGGAUGUUGAUCUGUAGUGCGUGCGC